rnacentral:rRNA from 1 species
GAGAGUUUGAUCCUGGCUCAGGACGAACGCUGGCGGCACGCUUAACACAUGCAAGUCGAACGAGAGAAGAGGAGCUUGCUUUUCUGAUCUAGUGGCGGACGGGUGAGUAACACGUGAGCAACCUGCCUUUCAGAGGGGGAUACCGAUUGGAAACGAUCGUUAAUACCGCAUAAUAUAAUUGAACCGCAUGAUUUGAUUAUCAAAGAUUUAUCGCUGAAAGAUGAGCUCGCGUCUGAUUAGCUAGUUGGUAAGGUAACGGCUUACCAAGGCGACGAUCAGUAGCCGGACUGAGAGGUUGAUCGGCCACAUUGGGACUGAGACACGGCCCAGACUCCUACGGGAGGCAGCAGUGGGGAAUAUUGCACAAUGGAGGAAACUCUGAUGCAGCGAUGCCGCGUGAGGGAAGAAGGUUUUAGGAUUGUAAACCUCUGUCUUCAGGGACGAAAAAUGACGGUACCUGAGGAGGAAGCUCCGGCUAACUACGUGCCAGCAGCCGCGGUAAUACGUAGGGAGCGAGCGUUGUCCGGAAUUACUGGGUGUAAAGGGAGCGUAGGCGGGAUCGCAAGUCAGAUGUGAAAACUAUGGGCUUAACCCAUAAACUGCAUUUGAAACUGUGGUUCUUGAGUGAAGUAGAGGUAAGCGGAAUUCCUAGUGUAGCGGUGAAAUGCGUAGAUAUUAGGAGGAACAUCAGUGGCGAAGGCGGCUUACUGGGCUUUAACUGACGCUGAGGCUCGAAAGCGUGGGGAGCAAACAGGAUUAGAUACCCUGGUAGUCCACGCCGUAAACGAUGAUUACUAGGUGUGGGGGGACUGACCCCUUCCGUGCCGCAGCAAACGCAAUAAGUAAUCCACCUGGGGAGUACGACCGCAAGGUUGAAACUCAAAGGAAUUGACGGGGGCCCGCACAAGCAGUGGAGUAUGUGGAUUAAUUCGAAGCAACGCGAAGAACCUUACCAGGUCUCGACAUCGUAUGCAUAGCUCAGAGAUGAGUGAAAUCUCUUCGGAGACAUAUAGACAGGUGGUGCAUGGUUGUCGUCAGCUCGUGUCGUGAGAUGUUGGGUUAAGUCCCGCAACGAGCGCAACCCUUACUGUUAGUUGCUACGCAAGAGCACUCUAGCAGGACUGCCGUUGACAAAACGGAGGAAGGUGGGGAUGACGUCAAAUCAUCAUGCCCCUUAUGACCUGGGCCUCACACGUACUACAAUGGCUGUAAACAGAGGGAUGCAAAGCCGCGAGGUGGAGCGAACCCCUAAAAGCAGUCUUAGUUCGGAUUGUAGGCUGCAACCCGCCUACAUGAAGUCGGAAUUGCUAGUAAUCGCAGAUCAGCAUGCUGCGGUGAAUACGUUCCCGGGCCUUGUACACACCGCCCGUCACGCCAUGGGAGUCGGUAACACCCGAAGCCUGUAGUCUAACCGCAAGGAGGACGCAGUCGAAGGUGGGAUUGAUGACUGGGGUGAAGUCGUAACAAGGUAGCCG